CAGUCGCGCGGUAAUACGAGGGGGGCAAGCGUUGUUCGGAAUUAUUGGGCGUAAAGGGCGCGUAGGCGGUUUGGCAAGUUUCGUGUGAAAUCUUCGGGCUCAACUCGAAGUCUGCACGGAAAACUGCCGGGCUUGAGUAUGGGAGAGGUGAGUGGAACUUCCGGUGUAGCGGUGAAAUGCGUAGAUAUCGGAAGGAACACCUGUGGCGAAAGCGGCUCACUGGACCAUUUCUGACGCUGAUGCACGAAAGCUAGGGGAGCAAACAGGAUUAGAUACCCCAGUAGUCCCUGUCUCUUAUACA
rnacentral:rRNA from 1 species